AACAAGAUAAAUAGAUAACAAGUAGUGACGCAGUCAGAGAAGUCAAUUUUCAUGGUUCGUGUGAAGACAGACCAAAGUUCUUUGCAGAAGAAUGUCAUCACCACGGCCGCCUCCAACCCUGCAGUGAAAGUGCUCCUUGCAAACUAACCUUAAGAUGACGACGACAACAUUGUGGCUGCUGGCCCUGCUGGUGUGCGGCACGGGAGCUGCACCUCGCCAGCUGGACACAACCUGCACCCCCCUGACAUGCGCAGUCAUCUUGUGUCUCCGCCCAGACUGCCCCCCGCCCUCCGUCCUGGUGACCGGCGGCGACCCAUGCGGGUGUUGUCCUGCGUGUGCACAGCAAGUCGGUGAGGGCGCCUUGUGUGACAGGACUGUCACCACAGACAGCAAGGUGUGCAUGCCCGGCCUGAUCUGUCAUCCCACUUCUCGCACCUGUGUCGCUUCAAGCUAAAAGCAAACAUUCAGCUGAAGUUCGAGGUUCAAGAAUUGCAGGUUACUAAGUAUGACAAGUCACUGCCUUUCAAAUCAAAUGCAUUGGUUUCUCAACUGUGA
rnacentral:lncRNA from 1 species